CCCUGCCGUCUGUCUCUGUCUCGAGAAAGACAUUCGUAGUCCUAUGGAAGGAUACAUACCAUAAGCAGAUCGUCUGCACAUUCACGGAAAUGGCUGUAGAAACAACUUCUGUUAUUUUGUGCACAGGAAUGAAGAAAUAGAAGUAAUUCCGGAUAUUAUGUCCUAAGACUGCUUGCAACUCUUAAUUCCGCAAACUCCAAUCUGACCCAAGGACAAGAGAAGUAAAUACUCUAGCUGCCCAUUGAUGUGGUUUGGAGGGGAUCUCAGAGAAAAUUCCUCACUUCAGAAUCUCUCUCCCUGACGUCUGGUGUUUAACCAUUAACAGUUCCAAUCAGGGCAGAGUUGCCCACGUCCUCUGGCAGGCAGUCUUUUAAAGAAAAUACUGCAGAUUGCCCAGUGUAGGAAGUGCCUAACAAGAGAGUGAUUCCUCAGAAAAAUCGGCAUUUAACAAAUACAUAAUGAACACCUACUCACAGCAUAGGAACCGUGCUGGGUUCUGGAGACAUCUCGGUGAACUUCCCUGGACUCAAAGAGGACAAAGAAGCCAAACUAGACCGGUUUCACAAUUCUGUGUAAAGCUGAGCCUAUUCUUACAGCAUCAACGUCUACCACUAAUCUUCAAAAUACCCCCAUUUUUAUAAAGAACAAAUAAAGAAAUGCUAACAGGCCAGUUUCCGUUUUCCUUGAGUGGAAGAUAACAGAUGUCAUGAUUUCAUGAGCUCUAAAGAGAGUAAGACAUUCUAUAUGACAGCGGUACACAACUGGCCCUCAAAACAUUACUCGUAAAAGACCACAAGGAAUGUCUGUUGUGUCCAAACUGUUACUGUAUGGAUUUUGUUCAAUGUGAAGUAUACAUAAUAAAUAAAACCUGGUUUAAAAGAG